rnacentral:misc_RNA from 1 species
UGCAGUGUCCUUGGAUGUUGUCUCGUCAGCUAAAAGCUGUAAAAGGAUUUUCUUUGCCCAUUGCUUUUUACAAUACAGUAAUACUUAGUCUCUUGCAGACCCAGAAACUAGUUAGUAUAAAACCUAACUUUAUUAAAGUGUAAUAUCACUGCCAAUGGCCACCUUUUCUUUCUCUCUCCCUUUCUUUUUUUUUAAGACAAGUGAUGUAGCUUAUCAAAA